CAGGAACACGUUGCCACUAAGCACUGGUUCCGCCUCAGGCAGAUCAGGAAGUUGGGUGUUUGUUGUUUCUGGGCUGGGAUAGAACGAAACAGAAACCCAAGGUAUUGAAAGAUGGAGUGAUUUGCCUACAGUAGCAUUAACGUUUUAUGUACAGAGGAGACACAGAAGGCUCCCUGCAGAAGGAAAAAAGGAAGAAAAAUUUAAAAGACUCAUCAUGGGCUGUAAUUUAUUAAUUGGAGUAAGUGUGCAUUAGCACAUCUGCUCCUGUGCCCACAUGGCAAUGCCUCUUUGCCAAAGGGAGUGCAGAAUCAUCGAGACAAUCCAAAUUCACGCUCAGAACUGAGUUGACACAGAGAAGAAGAAAGCCGAACUUGUCUUGAGAAUAGACAGCCCAAGUUUGUGCCCUGCCGAAAGACCACCAGUGGACAGAAAUAGAGAAACAGAUUUCCUAUUGCGACUGCCUAAAUAUAGUGUGUUUACUAAAAAGCUGGUCACAGCUAAAAUGCAAGUACGGAUGAACUUUGAUGGACUUGUUGGCGUGCCUUGUCAGCCCUUCCAGCAAAUUCCUUAGUGAGGAAACCGGUCUGAAAACUUGCCUGGGAACUUCACACAUGGGAACUUCCUAGGGGCUAUCUCUUAGCAUUUCAGAGAUAUCUAGAUUUUGGACAUUUUUCAGAUUGCUUUUAUUCCACUACCUAUCAAUCUACCUACAUUUGCAUUAACAGAUCAAUUCGUUCUUCUUCACCAUGACUAAGACGUCAUGUCCGCUCACUUUAUCAAUUUAUUGGAGCACCAGGGAAAUGAAGACUUUGCUAUAAACAACAGCCAGAAUCCACGUUUCCCGGACUGCAGCCCACUGGUGGGCUACCUUCUAUUUCUGUUUUCUUCCCAGGUUCUUUUUUUACAUACAUGUAAAUACCCACAUAGGAAGUGGGCGAGGAACCAUAGGUUCUGUUCACACACCCAGCAGAUCACCUGAGGCAGGUCACUUGGACACCCUGGGCUGGCGUUUUUCUCUACUGGGAGAUGAGACGCUGAACUCGAUGCCAUUUCCACCCAGACCCUUCCCACGGUGCGCGAUUUCAUGGGCAUACAGGGGACUUUGACAAACCCAAGCCCUACAUUCUUCUGACACACGUGGCAUCACAAAACAAUGCAUAGGAGUGACCAAUGAAUGUCUGCCCAUUAUUUGGGGGGCCUGGUGCCAUCAAAAUAAAGUUGUGAAGUCAUGUGGCUACCAGAUCAUCCCAUCAUCUGAGAACAUUAUGUCUGCUUGGUCUGGGCUCCCGAGGAUCCCAAGCUAAGAGUGUCUAAGCCACGGUCUGUGCUUAGUUUAAGUUAGCCAGGGCAAAAGCAUCUGUAGCAGCAUUAAUAUGCCCAAUUGAAGUGUCUCAAGGCUUAAUGGAAAAUAUUUAUUUCCACAAGAGACAGCCUUAUUUUAAAUAUAUGUAUAUAUCUAUAUCUAUAUCUAUAUAUAGGCAAAGAUUAUGUAUAUAUGUAUAUACUUCAUAUAAAAUGGGCAAAGAUUCAAUAUCUAUUGACAGCCCCUUCAGAAGACUCAAGAGGACCUUAGUUGAGUAAAACGAAAAACUGUUCCAUACACUGACAGGCAUUUGGCUGGAUAGAUCAGCAGGAUGUGGAAACUUGUUUUGAGGGUUUUUUUGGUAUUCUCACCCAGGAUUCCUCUGCUUAAUAGCUGGGCAGCUUUUCCGCUGGCUGUAUACUGAAUUUAUAAAGGAUGUUGGGGGAGAUAAGUUCUAGGAAUCCUUAUAUUUUAAAUUUGUUACCUAUAGUGAAGUAUUACAUUCAUAACGUUCUGUUUGUGUUUCAUUUAUUUGGCUCUGAUUAUGACAAAACCCUCAUGACGUUGCUGAAGUUCUGUAUACUUCAAAAAUGGUGUUGGUGGGAAGCACUUAUGUGUGGGCGUUUCAACUAUUUUUCUAAAACCAAGAAAGAGCCAUAUUCCUUGCUUUUCAUAUUAAAAAAUUACUCAAUAUAUUUGAAAGUGAGUGUCCCAGAAUCAGACUUCCAGAUUCCAUGAAUUCAGAGUGUGGAAAAGGAGAAGCAGCCCCUUUUAGCUGUAACAGGAGACAUUCUUUUAAAAGCCUGGAAUGCUGGAGCCCUCUUAUACUGAAAACAUGUCAGGACAUGCCUUUUUGGGAUGCUGUCAAGUGGUUUAGGCUCAGAAUUCUACAUUCCAUACUUUCGAAGUUGUUUUCUGUUGGCAGAUGACCUCUUGAUUAUUUUCAUGUGGUGGGUGUUCAGGCCAACCUCUCGGGUUCCCCAUAAUUAACUACCCGCCCCCCAAAAACAGCCCCCAAACCUCUACCCUGUCAAGUGUCCAUAUUUUAGCAUAAAGUUAUGGGUCAUGUCGGUGCUGGGCUUUUAACGGUCAAUCCUAUGAGCUUUGUCACAGUUCGCCACAAAAGUCAGUUCCAAAUCAGGUACACAUGACCUAGAGCGCUUUAUCUUCCAAUGCUCCUUCCUACUUUUUGAGUAGUGUCACCAUGUUAAGGAAUGAAAAAUUACUGUUGCAAAAAAGUUUUCACCUUUAAGGAGCUGUCAUUUCCCUAGUAAAAUCAAGUAGCAAUUCCCAUUCACCUUGGCUCCUUUUGGGGUCAAGGCUGGGAAUGGGUUAGUGGACAGGUAGACAAAGGAACUGGUGACUGGUGUCUGUCCUGACUCAGAGAGGCACAGCUGCCCCCUGGUGCAGAAGAGACCAGUUCAGCACAAACCAGUUCUACCACUCCGCAGAACCCCUGUUUUCUAGGAAGUUGUGAUUCAUGGGUUGGAGAACAACACUACAGUCCGGUACCCUGUACAGCAUGAACCUAGUUAAAUUAAAAGUGAAUGCUCCCCCCCACCCCGUCUCCCCAGCCACCAAGAAUUCAUUUCACAGGUGCUUCUGUCUGUGGCUCCCAAACAAAGGUAGCCCAACUUAAAACCUGUCACCGUCUGCCUUGUUAUAGAAGACACAUCAGUAGAUAUUUUGAUAUUUCUCGUUCGUGAGCAGCCUUCUCAACAUGCCCCCAAAUGGAGAGGUAUAAUCUUGAGUGAUGGUUAAAAAAAAUGAAAAAAAAAAAAAAAGUCUCAUCUCAUUUCACUUUGUGGGAAUUAGUUCCUAAUUGUCUGUUUUAUUGGGAAAUUUCCCAGAGAUUUAUACACUAUGAGAAAUGAGUCUGGAAGAAGCCAAACAGGACAGACAUAACAGUCGAGUUCUUGGAAAACAUUUCAUCUUGCAGACCAAGACUACAACUUGGAAAUCAUUUUUAUGCUUUUAUUAUGGUAUGUCCAUUAUGAUAUUUUAGGUGAAGUCAAUAGAGCCAGCAUAAGGAAGAAAAGCAGU